rnacentral:tRNA from 1 species
GCCUGGGUGGCUCAGUCGGUUGAGCGUCCGACUUCAGCCCGGGUCACGAUCUCACGGUUCGUGAGUUCGAGCCCCGCAUCAGGCU